CCUACGGGUGGCAGCAGUGAGGAAUAUUGGUCAAUGGGCUUACGCCUGAACCAGCCAAGUCGCGUGAGGGAAGACUGCCCUAUGGGUUGUAAACCUCUUUUGUCAGGGAGCAACGCCGGCUACGUGUAGCCGGACUGAGAGUACCUGAAGAAAAAGCAUCGGCUAACUCCGUGCCAGCAGCCGCGGUAAUACGGAGGAUGCGAGCGUUAUCCGGAUUUAUUGGGUUUAAAGGGUGCGUAGGCGGAAUGCCAAGUCAGCGGUAAAAUGGCGGGGCUCAACCCCGCUCCGCCGUUGAAACUGGCGUGCUUGAGUGGGCGAGAAGUAUGCGGAAUGCGUGGUGUAGCGGUGAAAUGCAUAGAUAUCACGCAGAACUCCGAUUGCGAAGGCAGCAUACCGGCGCCCAACUGACGCUGAAGCACGAAAGCGUGGGUAUCGAACAGGAUUAGAUACCCUAGUAGUC
rnacentral:rRNA from 1 species